AGGAGAGUUUGAUCCUGGCUCAGGAUGAACGCUAGCUACAGGCUUAACACAUGCAAGUCGAGGGGAAACGACAGAGAGUGCUUGCACUUUUUGGGCGUCGACCGGCGAAUGGGUGAGUAACGCGUAUCCGACCUGCCCUUGACUGAGGGAUAGCCCAGUGAAAACUGAAUUAAUACCUCAUGUUCUCCUCAGACGGCAUCAGACGAGGAGCAAAGAUUAAUCGGUCAAGGAUGGGGAUGCGUCUGAUUAGGUAGUAGGCGGGGUAACGGCCCACCUAGCCAACGAUCAGUAGGGGUUCUGAGAGGAAGGUCCCCCACAUUGGUACUGAGACACGGACCAAACUCCUACGGGAGGCAGCAGUGAGGAAUAUUGGUCAAUGGGCGAAAGCCUGAACCAGCCAAGUAGCGUGCAGGACGACGGCCCUAUGGGUUGUAAACUGCUUUUAUAGGGGAAUAAAGUUAUCCACGUGUGGAUAUUUGCAUGUACCCUAUGAAUAAGGACCGGCUAAUUCCGUGCCAGCAGCCGCGGUAAUACGGAAGGUCCGGGCGUUAUCCGGAUUUAUUGGGUUUAAAGGGAGCGUAGGCGGUAUAUUAAGCGUGUUGUGAAAUGUAGGUGCUCAACAUCUGACUUGCAGCGCGAACUGGUUUACUUGAGUACGCACAACGUAGGCGGAAUUCGUCGUGUAGCGGUGAAAUGCAUAGAUAUGACGAAGAACUCCGAUUGCGAAGGCAGCUUACGGGAGCGCAACUGACGCUGAAGCUCGAAAGUGCGGGUAUCGAACAGGAUUAGAUACCCUGGUAGUCCCCU
rnacentral:rRNA from 1 species